rnacentral:lncRNA from 1 species
UCAUAUACCCUUCAACCCAGAUUCUCCAAAUGAAGAGAGAAAACUCUUCCACCUUCCCUUAAGGCUUUCAUGCCCUGUACCUAAUCACAGUUACCUUUCUCCCUCCCUGAUUAAUCACCUCUAGCCACUUCAGACUUUGCCAGGCAUAGGCCUCACAAUCAUGACGGAAGGUAAAAGGCACGUCUUACAUGGCAGCAGACAAGAGAGAAUGAGGGCCAAGUGACAGGGGUUUCCCCUUAGAAAGCCAACAGAUCUCAUGAGACUUAUUCACUACCGUGAGAACAGUAUGGGGGAAACUGCCCCCAUGAUUCAAUUAUCUCCCACCAAGUCCCUCCCACAACACGUGGGAAUUAUGGGAGCUAAGUUGGUGUUAUUUUCAGUUUUUUCUUCCCUAGAAUUUUUUUUCAUAUAGAAAAAUAAGAUAUUUUUAAAAUUUUCUUUCAGAUUUGCGGUUGGAAGAUGAUACAAUCGGCUGUAAAGAAAUGCCCACCUCUGAAAACUGUCCAUCUUUUGCUCUACAUCAGAAAAUAAGUAGACAGAAAC